GCAGCUCAUAGAUGCACUCACGAGCUCUGCUGCCAUUGCCAGGACAGGAUGUGGCUCCACUUUUCCCUCAGAGAUGGUGAUGGCCUAGUGCCCAGUGGCCCCUCACAUCGGUGCCCACUAGUUGUCAUUAUUUCUCCACUCAAGACCAGCCUGAGACAGACACUCGCUUUUAGCCACAGUGUCAACAGCUUCCUCAUCAACCAUCUGCUGCUUCAUCCUGAAAGGCCUCUGAUCCUCCUCCUUCUGCUCCGUCUGCGCCAACCACCAACCUGCCUGCCCUGCAGAGUUUGCAGCGACCUUUCCUCUGUGCGCUUACCAAGACAUGUUUGGGCUGUUUAGUGGUCUUAUGCUUAGUCUUUCCAUCUUGGAUUGAAACCUCAACAGCACUGCAGAGAGGAGCAGAGAUCAAACUACUGAAAUACUUAAAAUAUAAUAAUGAAUACUAUUUUAUCAAUAAACAUUUGAAAACUUAA